UACGGAGGAUCCGAGCGUUAUCCGGAUUUAUUGGGUUUAAAGGGUGCGCAGGCGGAAGAUUAAGUCGGUGGUGAAAUUUUGCAGCUCAACUGUAAAAGUGCCAUUGAUACUGGUUUUCUUGAGUGUGGAUGAAGUAGGCGGAAUUUGUGGUGUAGCGGUGAAAUGCAUAGAUAUCACGAGGAACUCCGAUUGCGCAGGCAGCUUACUAAACCAUAACUGACGCUCAGGCACGAAGGCGUGUGGAUCAAACAGGAUUAGA
rnacentral:rRNA from 1 species